UUCUACGACCCUAUCACAUUGAAAGCACGAUAUCUCGUCCGAUCUGUCAAUUUAAGCAACCUUGGGCCUGGAUUAAUACUUGGAUCGGAGACGGCCUAGGAAUCCCGGAUGUUGUAGACA
rfam:Onchocerca ochengi, WGS project CAWC01000000 data, contig: 17184_20326